rnacentral:rRNA from 1 species
UCCUACGGGAGGCAGCAGUGAGGAAUAUUGGACAAUGGGCGCAAGCCUGAUCCAGCCAUGCCGCGUGCAGGAAGACUGCCCUAUGGGUUGUAAACUGCUUUUAUACGGGAAGAAUAAGUGUUACGUGUAGCACGAUGACGGUACCGUAAGAAUAAGCACCGGCUAACUCCGUGCCAGCAGCCGCGGUAAU